rnacentral:rRNA from 1 species
AAAACGACUCUCGGCAACGGAUAUCUCGGCUCUCGCAUCGAUGAAGAACGUAGCGAAAUGCGAUACUUGGUGUGAAUUGCAAAAUCCCGUGAACCAUCGAGUCUUUGAACGCAAGUUGCGCCCCAAGCCUUCUGGCCGAGGGCACGUCUGCCUGGGUGUCACAA